UAAAAAUGACCCUUUUUAAUCACACUCCCAAAGAUCACACUUUAACAAAACUAAAAGGUGUGAUUAAAUAAAAUACAUCACACAAAAAAAGUGUGAUUUUUAUAUGUUUUGUAGUAGUGUCAUUUUACUUUUGUGUAUAUUUUGUGAUGAGGCCUCUCAGAAAGCAUUGAGGUAGAAGAUCAACAGAGAGCUAUUAAUUUGGAUGAAUUGUAGCAACUUCAUAUUCUUUUGCUUGUAACUUAGAUAAAAUUUGAUUAGAAUAGGGAGAGAUUUCAAAAAAACUAGAAAGAACACAAUCAAUUUGCUGUGAAAUUCCAUGUGUUCUUUUUUCCUUAUCCUCUAAGCAUGUAAGUGAAACAUAAUAAAAACCAAAUAAGUGGCAAAAUGAGAAAGGGAAACUAUUAAACAUGGAUUGGAAGGCUCACAUAAUAGGAGAUUAAUUUAUGAUUCCUUAAAAUGCAUCUUUCACAUCAUAGAAUAAAGAACUAAGAUUUCAGUUUCUAUGAUUGUAUUUUCUGUUUGUUCUUGAGUUUGGUCUGAAGUUUCAUGAUAAUGGUAAGCAACUAGCUGAGUAACUAAUACAGGGUAUUAAGGCAGAACUUUAGAUUUGAUAUACUUGUGGAAGAAAGAAAGGGAUAUGAGUUUGGUAUCAGUAAUUGUUCCAUAUCUUGUGAAACGUAAAUGGAUUUUUUCAAUCUAUCUUGCCCACGCUUAUAUGCCCCCUAAUUGUGAACAGUGUAAAUUACUCGUUUUUCUUUUUUCACCCAGAAAAAUCAUCUUAUAAUGAAAUCUCAACAAGUCCUCUAAUCUAUAUUUCAAAGAAUUGAAUGAAACUAGUGAAUAAUUUGAAACAUCUUUUAAGUUGAAAUGAUAUAUAAGAAAAGGAUAGAUAUGAACAAUGCAAUUCUUUAUUAUCAAGCAUUAAAUUUGUUUUACUAGUGAUACAUUUCAUUGUUAUAUUGGUUCAUUCUUCCUUACAGGAACAAUCAAAAGCUAACAUAUUUGUCUUACUAAUGAUACAUUUCAUUAUUAUAUUGGUCAUUCUUUCUUAUAGGAGCAAUCAAAGGGUAACAUCGCGAACAGAGAAAUGAUGUAUACAAAAUACAGGUGUGGUUCUAGGUCAAUCUCUGUUAGAGUAGAAAAACUGAUUGGAUUGGGGUGGCAUUUUUGACGUGCAACAAUGAUCUAAUUUGCUUGAAUGUUCAUUUUUGUUUGAUAAGGAUACACAUACUUUGUGGAGUUGCACUAGUUAUUGUUGGACUUUUGGUAAAAUUGAACAAAUUAUAACUUUUGGAUAUUUUGUGGAUAUUUCACUAUUUUAUUGUAUUAGGAUGAAAUUAUUUGUGAUGAUGAAUGGAUAUUUUCAUUUUGUUAAUU